UACAUAGACCUCAAGCGUUAUCCGGAUUUACUGGGCGUAAAGCGUGCGUAGGCGUCCGCGCAAGUCUUCGGUGAAAUCUCCGGGCUUAACUCGGAACGGUCAAGUGAUACUGUCGGACUAGAGUACAGAAGGGGCAACUGGAAUUCUCGGUGUAGCGGUGAAAUGCGUAGAUAUCGAGAGGAACACCUGCGGCGAAGGCGGGUUGCUGGGCUGAUACUGACGCUGAGGCGCGAAAGCCAGGGGAGCGAACGGG
rnacentral:rRNA from 1 species